UGGAGGUCUGAGAAGGUUAAGCAGCUGGUGUGGUGCUGUUCCUAACUGGUUACAACCUCCAACAUUAACAGACAAGCCACUCAUUGAAGAAGCUCAGAUGAUGUAUGCUGAGCUUGAUUUUGUGUGUUUGGGAACAUGUU